CUGGUUCAUGAUGAUGAGGUAGUCUCUCAUAUUCUAAACGGCCUUGAUUAUGAUUACAACCCAUUUGUAUCAUCUAUGCUUGGUCGUGUCGAGCCAAUCUCGUUGAACGACCUCUACUCGCAACUUCUGUCCUAUGAUC